rnacentral:lncRNA from 1 species
GUAAUGGUUUUAAGCUGAAAAAGGGUAGGUUCAGGUUGAAUAUUGGUAAGGAUUCCUUUGCAAGUUGGACAGGGUUUGGAGCAGCCUGCUCUAGUGGAAGAUGUCCCAGAUAGGGACAGGGGGUGGAACGAGUUUCAAGGUCCCUUCCAACCCAAGUAAUUCUGUGAUUCUGCGAUUUAACAGCUUGAAAGUACAAGUCCAUGGUCAUGCACUUCUUUGACUGCCCUGCAGCAGACCCCCUCUUUCAUUUUCUGAAGCACUGCAAAGUCUUGGAGUUACAUGAGCAUUCACAAAAGUUAGACAGAUCCUAGAGCAACCCUCUUGUGUUAUUUUACUACUGAGGAACAUCCUGGACAUCCAUCAGUAUUUGGACCCUUAUGAAUCUACCUUAAAUGAUUUUCAAGAAGAUUUAUACUGCUCAUUUGUAUUUCCAUAUCACUGCUGGAACGAGCUUUCUUUGUGUGGUGCUUGAUCUUCUGGCAUUCCUUAUGGUCCCUGGGAUGAAGAGUUUUGUCCUUCCUCAGGAGGAGUGAGGGUGGGGAAGCCAUGGUGAGUUACUGGGGUCUUUUAACAGCAAAAGUAAUCACAGUGCCCAACUUAAUAAGUGUCCAAAAAUUUCCUUGUAAUUGAGAGACAUCUCAGGUUAAAGCAGCUCAGGUCUUGAGACCCUGAAUUAUGUCUUCUGCAAUGCUGUAAAAUCUUAAUGCAGUCUAAAUAACUUAUUUUGCUGAUUUGACUGACAAUCUCUAGUGCUUUCAUCGAUUAAAUUAUGGAAAUGUAUUGAUUCUUUAAAAGACACCAGUUCAUCAGGUGCCCUGCAGUUUAAAACCUGUGUCCCUUUUUAUUUCCUAUCUCCAAAUACUUAAUGCCUGUGUGUCUCCUGAGUGUUCCAUUUUUCAGUGUUUUAAUGGCACAACUAUUAAAUAAGCUGAAUUUCUACAUCAGAAAAGGACACUUGCAGUGUAUUUCACUCAGACUGACACAGCAGACCCCUUAAAAAAGAUUC